rnacentral:lncRNA from 1 species
CUCGUGUAUUUGUAGGCACUGUGCUGGACAGGACUUUGCCGUGAAGCUCUAUCAAUGGACAACUCUCAAAGACAUGAAUCUCUGUUUUACUGCACAAAUGUGAAAAGCAGCACUCAUUCUCUGAAAGUGACAGAGAACUCAAAACAGUUAAGAAGUGGAAUUAUAAGGAAGCAAAGAAGUAGAGACAACGUUGUAAAGCCCUGCUCGGUCUGAAUAUGGAGCUCAAGAAA